rnacentral:tRNA from 1 species
GGCGGUGACAAUGGGGAGUUAAGUUCCCGUUCGGGGCAACUAGAGUGUGGGUUCGAUUCCCUCCACCGGCACCA